rnacentral:rRNA from 1 species
AAGCCUGAUCCAGCAAUGCCGCGUGCAGGAUGUAGGCCUUCGGGUUGUAAACUGCUUUUGUACGGAACGAAACGGUUCUCUCUAAUACAGGGGGCUAAUGACGGUACCGUAAGAAUAAGCACCGGCUAACUCCGUGCCAGCAGCCGCGGUAAUACGUAGGGUGCGAGCGUUAAUCGGAAUUACUGGGCGUAAAGCGUGCGCAGGCGGUGAUGUAAGACAGAUGUGAAAUCCCCGGGCUCAACCUGGGACCUGCAUUUGUGACUGCAUCGCCGGAGUGCGGCAGAGGGGGAUGGAAUUCCGCGUGUAGCAGUGAAAUGCGUAGAUAUGCGGAGGAACACCGAUGGCGAAGGCAAUCCCCUGGGCCUGCACUGACGCUCAUGCACGAAAGCGUGGGGAGCAAACAGGAUUAGAUACCCUGGCAGUCCACGCCCUAAACGAUGUCAACUGGUUGUUGGGUCUUCACUGACUCAGUAACGAAGCUAACGCGUGAAGUUGACCGCCUGGGGAGUACGGCCGCAAGGUUGA